rnacentral:rRNA from 1 species
CCCUUAGAUGUUCUGGGCUGCACGCGCGCUACACUGUCGGAUUCAGCGAGUCAUAUCCUUAACCGAAAGGUUUGGGUAAUCUUUUGAAAGUCCGACGUGAUGGGGAUUGAUCAUUGCAAUUAUUGAUCAUGAACGAGGAAUUCCUAGUAAGCGCGAGUCAUCAGCUCGCGUUGAUUACGUCCCUGCCCUUUGUACACACCGCCCGUCGCUACUACCGAUUGAAUGGUUUAGUGAGAUCUUCGGAUCGGCGCCUACGCGGCUUCUCUGAGGCCACGCUGGAUGCCGAAAAGUUGCUCAAACUGUAUCAUUUAGAGGAAGUAAAAGUCGUAACA